UACGUAGGUGGCAAGCGUUGUCCGGAUUUACUGGGCGUAAAGAGCGCGCAGGCGGUCGUUCAAGUCGCGUGUGAAAGCCCCCGGCUCAACUGGGGAGGGUCACGCGAUACUGAUCGACUCGAAGGCAGGAGAGGGAAGUGGAAUCCCGGUGUAGUGGUGAAAUGCGUAGAUAUCGGGAAGAACACCCGUGGCGAAGGCGGCUACUCUCGGGAGCGUGGACGUGACGCUGAGACGCGAAAGCGUGGGGAGCGAACGAGGA
rnacentral:rRNA from 1 species